rnacentral:rRNA from 1 species
CCUACGGGUGGCAGCAGUGAGGAAUAUUGGUCAAUGGACGAAAGUCUGAACCAGCCAAGUAGCGUGAAGGAUGAAGGCCCUAUGGGUUGUAAACCUCUUUUAUAUGGGAAUAAAAUGUUCCACGUGUGGCAUUUUGUAUGUACCAUAUGAAUAAGGAUCGGCUAACUCCGUGCCAGCAGCCGCGGUAAUACGGAGGAUCCGAGCGUUAUCCGGAUUUAUUGGGUUUAAAGGGAGCGUAGGUGGCUUGUUAAGUCAGUUGUGAAAGUUUGGGGCUCAACCGUAAAAUUGCAGUUGAAACUGGCAGUCUUGAGUACAGUAGAGGUGGGCGGAAUUCGUGGUGUAGCGGUGAAAUGCUUAGAUAUCACGAAGAACUCCGAUUGCGAAGGCAGCUCACUGGACUAUAACUGACACUGAGGCUCGAAAGUGUGGGUAUCAAACAGGAUUAGAUACCCGAGUAGUC